rnacentral:rRNA from 1 species
AGUAGACGUCAGAGUUUGAUCCUGGCUCAGGACGAACGCUGGCGGCGUGCUUAACACAUGCAAGUCGAACGGUGAAGGGACUGGCUUUUGUUGGUCCUGGAUGAGUGGCGAACGGGUGAGUAACACGUGAGUAACCUGCCCCCUUCUUCUGGAUAACCGCAUGAAAGUGUGGCUAAUACGGGAUAUUCUGGGUCUGUCGCAUGACGGGCCCGGGAAAGAUAUUGCUUCGGUGGGGGAUGGGCUCGCGGCCUAUCAGCUUGUUGGUGGGGUGAUGGCCUACCAAGGCGGUGACGGGUAGCCGGCCUGAGAGGGUGGACGGUCACACUGGGACUGAGACACGGCCCAG